CCUACGGGUGGCAGCAGUGGGGGAUAUUGCACAAUGGGGGGAACCCUGAUGCAGCGACGCCGCGUGUGGGAAGACGGUCCUCUGGAUUGUAAACCACUGUCCCCAGGGACGAAAAUGACGGUACCUGGGGAGGAAGCUCCGGCUAACUACGUGCCAGCAGCCGCGGUAAUACGCAGGGAGCGAGCGUUGUCCGGAAUUACUGGGUGUAAAGGGAGCGUAGGCGGGGAUGCAAGUUGGGUGUCAAAACUACCGGCUAAACUGGUAGUCGCACUCAAAACUGCAGCUCUUGAGUGAAGUAGAGGCAGGCGGAAUUCCUAGUGUAGCGGUGAAAUGCGUAGAUAUUAGGAGGAACACCAGUGGCGAAGGCGGCCUGCUGGGCUGUUACUGACGCUGAGGCUCGAAAGUGUGGGGAGCAAACAGGAGUAGAUACCCUUGUAGUC
rnacentral:rRNA from 1 species